rnacentral:rRNA from 2 species
AGCCUGAUGGAGCACACCGCGUGAGUGAAGAAGGGUUUCGGCUCGUAAAGCUCUGUUGUUGGAGAAGAACGUGCGUGAGAGUAACUGUUCACGCAGUGACGGUAUCCAACCAGAAAGUCACGGCUAACUACGUGCCAGCAGCCGCGGUAAUACGUAUGUGGCAAGCGUUAUCCGGAUUUAUUGGGCGUAAAGCGAGCGCAGGCGGUUGCUUAGGUCUGAUGUGAAAGCCUUCGGCUUAACCGAAGAAGGGCAUCGGAAACCGGGCGACUUGAGUGCAGAAGAGGACAGUGGAACUCCAUGUGUAGCGGUGGAAUGCGUAGAUAUAUGGAAGAACACCAGUGGCGAAGGCGGCUGUCUGGUCUGCAACUGACGCUGAGGCUCGAAAGCAUGGGUAGCGAACAGGAUUAGAUACCCUGGUAGUCCAUGCCGUAAACGAUGAGUGCUAGGUGUUGGAGGGUUUCCGCCCUUCAGUGCCGGAGCUAACGCAUUAAGCACUCCGCCUGGGGAGUACGACCGCAAGGUUGAAACUCAAAAAAAUUUGACGGGG